GACGAACGCUGGCGGCGUGCUUAACACAUGCAAGUCGAACGAAGAGCGAUGGAAGCUUGCUUCUAUCAAUCUUAGUGGCGAACGGGUGAGUAACGCGUAAUCAACCUGCCCUUCAGAGGGGGACAACAGUUGGAAACGACUGCUAAUACCGCAUACGAUCUAAUCUCGGCAUCGAGGAUAGAUGAAAGGUGGCCCCUACAUGUAAGCUAUCACUGAAGGAGGGGAUUGCGUCUGAUUAGCUAGUUGGAGGGGUAACGGCCCACCAAGGUGAUGAUCAGUAGCCGGGCUGAGAGGAUGAACGGCCAAAUUGGGACUGAGACACGGCCCAGACUCCUACGGGAGGCAGCAGUGGGGAAUCUUCCGCAAUGGACGAAAGUCUGACGGAGCAACGCCGCGUGAGUGAUGACGGCCUUCGGGUUGUAAAGCUCUGUUAAUCGGGACGAAAGGCCUUCUUGCGAAUAGGGAGAAGGAUUGACGGUACCGGAAUAGAAAGCCACGGCUAACUACGUG
rnacentral:rRNA from 1 species